CUUUCCCCUAGAGGCGUAGCUGGUGUGGCUGCUGUGUCACAUCUGCGUCAGUAGGUGGCAGAGCGGAGAGAAAUUCAAUCUAUGAUCGGUGUUCUAACCUGUGAACCUCUGUAAUAGGAGUCUAACAGU
ensembl:snoRNA LOC120097604 small nucleolar RNA SNORA17